rnacentral:tRNA from 1 species
GACUUAAAAUCCGUCGAUUUUUAAAAUCGUGAGGGUUCAAGUCCCUCUAUCCCC